rfam:Dipodomys ordii contig_8105, whole genome shotgun sequence.
GGUGGCUCAGUGGUAGAACGCUUGCCUUGCAUGCAUGAGACCCUGGGUUCAAUUCCUCAGCACCA